rnacentral:rRNA from 1 species
UAUCUCUGUAGAGUCUGCAUAUCAAUAAGCGGAGGAAAAGAAACUAACAAGGAUUCCCCUAGUAACGGCGAGUGAAGCGGGAAGAGCUCAAAUUUGAAAUCUUCAAGGUUCUACCUUGACGAAUUGUAGUUUAAAGAAGUGUUUUCGGUUAGAGGAGUAGUAAAAGUUCUUUGGAAUAGGACAUCAUAGAGGGUGAGAAUCCCGUAUUUGACCAUUAUUUCUAGCUUUGUGAUACACUUUCAAAGAGUCGGAUUGUUUGGGAAUGCAGUCCAAAAUGGGUGGUAAAUUUCAUCUAAAGCUAAAUAUUGGCGAGAGACCGAUAGCGAACAAGUACCGUGAGGGAAAGAUGAAAAGAACUUUGAAAAGAGAGUUAAACAGUACGUGAAAUUGUCAAAAGGGAAGCGUUAGACACCAGUGUUGUUUUUCCGAAAAUCAAUUAAAAAUUGAUUCAUGCCAGGUUGUAUUGACCUUAUCAGCUUGCAAUUUGGUUUUGGGUCUCUUUUUGAUGCACUUUUCGGUUAACAAGUCAACAUCAAUUUCCUUUGCUGUAAAAAGGUAAGAGGAAGGUGGCUUCAAUUUCGGUUGAAGUGUUUAUAGCCUUUUAUCUCUGCAGUCGGGGAGAUUGAGGUCUGCAGCGUAGAUCCUUCGGGGCUAGAUACAUUUAUGCUAAGUUAUAGCUUUCCAUAGACAACUUGUUGACUAUGUUUAGUCAUGUAGCUUACUCGUAAGUGCUAUUUUACCUACGCUUAGGAUGUUGAGCGCAUGUCUCUCUCU